UACGAGGGGUGCAAGCGUUGCUCGGAAUUAUUGGGCGUAAAGGGUAGGUAGGUGGUCUCAUUUGUCUGGGGUGAAAGCCUUGAGCUUAACUCAAGAAGUGCCCCGGAAACGGUGAGACUGGAGUCCUGGAGAGGGUCGUGGAAUUCCCGGUGUAGCGGUGAAAUGCGUAGAGAUCGGGAGGAACACCUGUGGUGUAGACAGCUUACUGGACCACUUCUGACGCUGAGACACGAAAGCGUGGGUAGCAAACAGG
rnacentral:rRNA from 1 species